rnacentral:rRNA from 1 species
CGACCCCUAAGGUGAGGCCGAAAGGCGUAAUCGAUGGGAAACGGGUUAAUAUUCCCGUACUUCUGACUAUUGCGAUGGGGGGACGGAGAAGGCUAGGUGGGCCAGGCGACGGUUGUCCUGGUUCAAGUGCGUAGGCUUGAGAGUUAGGUAAAUCCGGCUCUCUCUAAGGCUGAGACACGACGUCGAGCUACUACGGUAGUGAAGUCAUUGAUGCCAUGCUUCCAG